rnacentral:misc_RNA from 1 species
GACAACUCGAAUACUGCCCCUAAUCAACCGAUCCAUCUUUGCAUUGUUUUUGGGUUCUGUCUCUCUUACUUUCUCUCUCUCUCAAAAAUCUCUACUUCUCCUCCGUUUCUACGUUGAUCGGAUCUAGGGUUUCUAGACUCCAUUUUCCGAUCUAAUCAAUCCCGAUUUUUCUCUCUAGCUUUUUUCGUUUUGUUCCCACUUCCAUUUCCAGAUCGAAGCUAGAACGAGAUAAUCAAUUGUCGACAUCAUUUAUUUGUUCUACUAAUUCUUUUACAUGGCCACCCAAAGUUUUGUUCCUUACAUGAUCUUUGAUCAGUUGAACUCUGUCAUGCAUGCGUGUGGAGUGCUGUUUGUCUUUGAAGGUUAUGGAAGCAUAGACGUACAACAUUGACGAGGUUGUUUUUUGAAAGCCAUGGGGACUGAAAAUCCUGGUCGUCCAAAUUUUCCUGUGGCAGCUUCCACCACACCAUUUGCUGCUCCUCCUCCAACUAUGACACCAUUUUCAUCUUCUGGUCCUAUGGUUGGAUUAGAGGCCUCUGGCUUUAGAGCUACUCCACCAGCGGUUCCUCAAACUACAAUACCUUCUACAUUAUCUGGGCCUGCAGGUGGCUCACAGACCCCUGAUUUUAGACCUGCUCCUCCAGCAUCAUAUGUGCCCUCUGCUGUUGGACCCUUCCAGCGUUUCCCAAUGCCACAAUAUCCUACUACACCUCAAACUCAAACUCCAUCAGCUGGAGCUCCUCCUAUUGGGCAACCAUCAUUUCAACCUCCUGGUCAGGUAUCAUCCCCACUUUUAUAUCGUCCACAGCCACCGCAGAUGCCUUCUGUACCAAUGGGAUCUCCUCCUCCUUCAAAUGUGAAUGUUCCUCAAUCUUCAUCGGAUUCAUCAUUUUUUACUGCCAGGCCCAAUUUUCAGCCAUCUUUUCCUCCAGCAGAUCCGUCUUAUCCUCCUUCUAGAGCCACGUUGCAGCCACCUUUACCUGGAUAUAUAAAGCAAUCGGCUGCAGUUUCACAAGCCCCUCCUAUGCAGUCCCCUUUUCAAGUUCAACAAGGAAGUUACGUACCUCCUCCUCCAACGCAAUCUUCCCCUUUUCCUUCUCACCAAGGAGGUUUUGGUCAACCUCCGCCAGUAGCUGCCUCUUUUGGCUUGCAUUCAAGGGAGCAAAUCCAACAGCCAGGCUCCGUACCUCCUAUAGGUGGCAUCCAAGGCUUAUUGGAAGAUUUCAGCUCACUUUCGAUUGGGUCUAUGCCAGGAUCAAUAGAUCCAGGACUUGAUCCAAAAGCAUUGCCAAGGCCAUUGGAUGGUGAUGUGGAGCCAACUCCAUUACCUGAAGCAUACUCUAUGAAUUGUGAUCCUAGAUAUCUACGGCUUACAACUAGUGCUAUACCAAAUUCUCAGUCUUUGGUUUCAAGGUGGCAUUUACCUCUUGGAGCAGUUGUUUGUCCUCUUGCAGAAGCUCCAGAUGGGGAGGAGGUGCCAGUACUUAAUUUUGUUUCAACUGGCAUUAUUCGUUGUAGAAGAUGUCGUACGUAUGUGAAUCCAUAUGUAACCUUUACAGAUGCUGGAAGAAAGUGGCGUUGCAACAUCUGUUCUCUACUUAAUGAUGUUCCUGGUGAGUAUUUUGCCCAUUUAGAUGCCACUGGUAGAAGAGUUGAUUUGGAUCAGCGA